UACGGGAGGCAGCAGUGGGGAAUAUUGCACAAUGGGCGCAAGCCUGAUGCAGCCAUGCCGCGUGUAUGAAAAAGGCCUUCGGGUUGUAAAGUACUUUCAGUCGUGAGGAAGGUGUUAAGGUUAAUAACCUUAGCAAUUGACGUUAGCGACAGAAGAAGCACCGGCUAACUCCGUGCCAGCAGCCGCGGUAAUACGGAGGGUGCGAGCGUUAAUCGGAAUUACUGGGCGUAAAGGGCACGCAGGCGGUUAAUUAAGUUGGAUGUGAAAUCCCCGGGCUUAACCUGGGAAUGGCAUUCAAGACUGGUUAGCUAGAGUCUUGUAGAGGGGGUAGAAUUCCAUGUGUAGCGGUGAAAUGCGUAGAGAUGUGGAGGAAUACCGGUGGCGAAGGCGGCCCCUGGACAAGACUGACGCUCAUGUGCGAAAGCGUGGGGAGCGAAAC
rnacentral:rRNA from 1 species